AGGAAGCCCAUUUUCGUUUGCUAUUCCUCCUCUUCGUUUCCGUUUCACGAUCUGAAAGUUGAAAGAUUCGACUUUGCCUUUUCUCAUUUUCUCCAAACCCUAAUUUGCUACAUCUAUUCGUGAAACCCUUUGCUCUUCCUCUUCUUCGUUUCUGUUUCCCUCAGUACUUUACAUAUAUAUUGUACUUUGAUAAUCGAUACUCUAUUGUUAAUACCGACCACACAACAUAGAUCUUCAUGUCUUCCGUAGACUUUCGGAAAGACUUUAAGAAACCUAGCGUUGACAAUAAUUCAAUGAUCGCCGUAAACAUGGAUGUGGCUGCAAUGGAAACUGAUCGGUUGCGAUAAUCUCCAUCGUUCUGAGGCAUUGCAGUUCUUUCGAAGAUGGAGAAGUGAAAGAGGCGAAAAGGAUAUGGACGGUCAUGAGGAAGGAGAGUUGGAUUAACGAUUUCCAGCUCCACUUCUCCGGAAAAUUUGAGCACCGCAACACCGGCAAAAUCCCACAUCGUCUUGGAAAGCUUCGGGUUUUGGUCUCAGCCUGUAUCCUCUGUUUCUUAAUUAUAUAUUCCCUCUACAACCUUAUAUAUGUAUGUAAAUAUAUAUCAUCUGUUUUUAUUCCUUCUUUCAAACUCACACCUUCAUUUGGUCAAGCCAUGUGUUGUUCGCAGGAAUCUAUGAUCGUGGCUCUAUCAGUUCACCGGAUCCAUCAAGACCCAAAUUGUUCAUAUUCUUCGAUACAUCCUAUUGCUUCCCGUAAAGGUAACCUCUAUCUGAACUCCAAAUACCAGUGAUCAAAUGUUAGUUUGACGCCAACAUUCAUGCCAUCAAAGAAUUCACAAGCAGCUUGAGAGGUGCAGCAGCAGAGUUUUCCCGUGUUGAUACCAUGGAAGGGAUAAAAAAACAGAACUUGUACCAAUUGGAGAUCUAAACACAUACAUCUCCAACUCUAACGAGCAGAGUGAAGACACAGGUAUUUGUAAAGCUCGGAUGUGUUUCUCCUGACAUUAUCGGGCUUAUCAGGGUCCGUGCUGAACUAGCAGUUGAUGACCGCAAAGAUAGUGCCACGUUUGUGGUCUUCAACAAGGAGUUGACUAAGCUCAUCAAGCAAGAUGCAGCUACUCUGGCUCUUGAGGAGGUACAGUUUUGCUCAUACACUACAUUUUUCAUGCGUUUAAAAUAGUCACAAUCUAUCUGAAUGCCUCUCAAACCUCAAACCUACGACACAUGAGUGGCGGUGGAGGGCAGGAUCUACCAAGAUGCCUUGAAGAUCUAGCUGGCAAGGAUUACGUUUUCCAGAUUCGUGUCACUCCGUGCAGGUUCAUUCCAAACCAGUGUACCUUCACAGUCUCUGCAAUCAGUGAUGACAUCUUCUUUGUAGCAGCAGCAACCAAGCUUAAGUCGUUGACAGGGAAGGUGGACAAGCAACAACAGCAGCCAGCUACACGGUUGAUGCGGAGAAGAGAGCUAUGGGAGUUGACGAAGCACAUCCUCCCGACUUUGAAGACAAAGAAAAAGCUGCAAACGCUCCUGUGAGUGAUAUUUUCAAGUUGAUCAAACUGUCAAUCCCACUUAGCUUUCAUCGCUUUUAAAUUGCUACAUUCCUAUGUUUUCCGAUUUUAAUCUUUGCUUGUAUCUUGCAUUUUUGGAAGUUGACAGGUCUUUGCAUAUUGAGAAUGUUCUUACGUUAUUGCAUGAAUGCAUGUUGACAUAGUAACCCAUCA